UACGUAGGGUGCAAGCAUUAAUCGGAUUUACUGGGCGUAAAGCGCACGUAGGCGGAUUGUUAAGUCGGGGGUGAAAUCCUGGAGCUCAACUUCAGAAUUGCCUUCGAUACUGGCUUUCUAGAGGCUGGAAGAGGUUAGUGGAAUUCCCAGUGUAGAGGUGAAAUUCGUAGAUAUUGGGAAGAACACCAGUGGCGAAGGCGGCUAACUGGUCCAGAUCUGACGCUGAGGUGCGAAAGCGUGGGGAGCAAACAGG
rnacentral:rRNA from 1 species